rnacentral:piRNA from 1 species
UCAGAGAUGUCCUCUUCCCGGUGGGAAA